AGUUAAUAUAAAACUAGAUUAGUAACAAAUAUAAUUUCGAAAAUCAAAGGAUUUGGCGGUAUUUUAAUCUUAUUAGAGGAACCUGUUUUAUAAUCGAUACACCACGGAAAAUCUUACUUUUUUAAAAUAGUUUGUAUACCGUCAUUAACAGAUAAAUUUUAAAGAAAUAUUUAUUACAAUUAAUAUCAUUAUGCUUAACUAAAUUAGAUCAAGGUGCAGCUUAUAGAAAAGUAAAAAUGGGUUACAAUAAGUUAUCUUAUAACGAAGAUUGAAUUUCAAAAUUUAAUUGAAGGAGGAUUUAAUUGUAUAUUUAAAUUUAAUAGGAAAAAUAGAAAUAUAGCUCU
rnacentral:rRNA from 1 species